rnacentral:lncRNA from 1 species
AAGUUUCAACUAUAAAGUUUUAAAUCUUGCCGAGCUCUUCAAAUUUGAUAAAGGGUCUGUCUCCAACCGAGAUACUUUGAAGAUUCGAAAGAUAAUUUGAAAUUUUGAAAAAAUUGAAUAUCGAAAUAUGAGAACAUUGAAAUAAAUAAUUGUGACUCUAAAUAUUUUUCAUAUGGAAAACUUUACAACAGCAAAGUUCUGUAUUGCAUUGACAGCUACCACUUUAUUAUGGAUCAUGUCAACAUCUCAUUUGAAAUUUCUAAAUUAAAUUUUAAAAUCUUAAAUCACAAUAUGAAUAUUAGGGAAUCUAAAUGACUUUGAAUAAGAAACUUAUUAUCUAAAAAAUUGUUGAUCAUACUGAGAACUAAAACUUUUAUUUAGAUCAUGCCAACAUCUGAGAUUGGUUUAACAUUUUUAAUUUUAAUUUCAAAAUCUAAAAGCCUAAACAAAUUUUUGAGACUAAAGAAUUUCCAAUAAAAAAUUAGAAAAUACAAAAAAAAAUAGAUCACAUGGAGCUCUACAAUUCUCGUACAAAGUUUGACUUCACUUGAGUUCAUGUAAAAAUUGUCCACCUAUGUUAAUCAUUAUUUCAG